rnacentral:lncRNA from 1 species
ACAAUAUUUACAAUAUAGGACAAGUUUAAAAUUCAAUAUGUUUUGUUUAUACAGUGUCAAUAACGAUUUUAAAAAGCUAUCGUUAGUGUUAAAUAGAUACCUAUGUGUAUUGUCCAAACAGUAUUAUUUGUGCACUUUGUUACUGUAUAGAUGUCUUAUAUCUUAACUGUAAAUUUCGUAAUCUAGUACGCCUGUCUUCCUUGUCUUAAAUGGAUAAUUUUCUGACACUUUUUUAACCUGAUUGAUUUCUAAUAUUUUCAUGGAAUAUUUCAAAACUUUAAUUUUCACAGAAAGACAUUUCUAAGUGUUUAACUAAGUAAACAACCCCGUUUAUUUUUCCAGUUGAUUGUUAAACCUUGUACAUGUAAACACCUUUCUCUGUCUUUAACAGUAUGGUCAAUAAGAGGGCUUUAACAGAGAUACUUCAAAUUGAAGAAAACGAUGGAAAUUGAAUUCAAUGAAAUGACAAUUUUUUUCAAAUACCUACACAGAUUACCUCAUGUUUGAAAGAUUUUUUAAGCUUGAAUUCCUUACUACAAAUACAUAUUAUGGCUUUUUGGUCUGCCAUAACUGGAUAUCAGUUCAGUUAUUGAUAUCCAUAAAAAACACUUCCCAUGAAAUGUCUUCCUUAUGAUUUAUCUGACGUACUAUUAGCCGAGUAAGGGAAAAUUUAGGUACUGAUCUGAAAUGAACUGUUGAAUAUAACAUGAAAUUGACUGCUUCCUUGCAAUGUUGAAAUUAUUCUGGACCAUUCUACCUUUAAAUGGACCUAUAUGUCUGGUCCUUUAUUUAUCUUUAGUCCAUUAUAUAGCAAUAUUUGUAUUUAUAUUGUCUGGGUAUUGUUAUCAAAUGUUUAUUUGUUGUUUUGUAUUUAUCAGUAUAUAAUAUGAAGUUUCAUACCUAAUUUGACAGUUGACCUACUGGGUUUUAUCUAUAGGUAUAUAUCUCUUAAAGAUAAAAGUUAAAUGGACUCUCAGAUAGGCUCCAUUUAUUCAUAUACUUGGAAUGUGAACUUAACAGGAAUAGAAUGUUGAAAUGAAACAGAAUGUGGGCCACAGAUCACAAUUAAUUCCUCUAUCAGUUCUUUAUAACAUUUUGCAUCAGUAAAAAAAAUUGCAUCAUGCACUUUUGUCAAAUUUUUUGUGUGUGUAAUGUAUAGUCCUAGUCCAAAUAUAUAUCCCAAAUUCAGAAAGAUUGAACCAAUCACUUUUACAAAUUUAGCCAAUACACAUCCAUACCCCUAUUGACAAGUCAAGAGAUGUUCCGAAAACUGUAAAUAUUACCUUUUUACACUUGGCCUAAUCACUCAUUCCAUAUCAAAAUCAGUUUAAAUACAACAUCCAAAAAUUUAUUUCACCUGUCUUCUUUCAUUUCCACCCAAAAUAAUCUAAGAAAUGAGUGAAGGGAAAGAAAAAAAAUUAAGGAAAAAUACACUCUAAUUAAAAGGAACUAUAUUCGUGGACAACGAAAAGUGGGGUCAUUAAUUGUGGUCUUGGGCCUAUUAGGGGCCUAAAACUUGACCAAUUCUAAUAAAACUUGACAUGAUUUAAGCUUAGUAUAUUGUAAAACAGUUUACAAAGUUUCAAAGCCAUAAGAUACCAAAUAAACAAAAUGUGGCAUUUUUUAUAUUUGAACUUUGGGUACUGAAUUGUGGCGUUGAAUUAAAACAAUUUCAACUAUCAAAUUUGAGCUUCUAAAAACCACUGACCACUUCUGCAUUAAGAAGAAAUCUAUAAGCAGCUAAUGGGAUUCAAUUAUCUCCCUUGAAAAUAAUAGAAAACUCAAAUGAAUGAAUUUAUGAUAUUGAAUUUGACUUGAAAAUCCUUUUAUGUUUUACAACAUUUUUAAUGGACUCAGUAAAUAAAGCAAAUUGACUUUGUAAGUGAUCAAACAUUCUAAAUAUAAACAGAAAUUUGAAUGAUUUAUAGCAUUGUGGGCCCUAGAUUUCUGGCAAGUCUGAUAUGAAUAAAAAAUGUAUUCAAGUAUUAAAACCUUAGUGAUUUAUUUCCCUUUAUUUCUAGAGGAAAAUAGAUAAAUUGUCAGAAUUUAGUGAUGAGAGAGAAAAAUAAAUGUUCUAGAUAUACAUAUAUAUAGUAUAUAGACAUACAUAUAUAUGUAGUCUUCUCUAUGGUUGGGCUGUUGUCUAUUUGACACAUUCCCCAUUUCCAUUUUCAAUUUUAUACUUUUUAUAAAUUGUGACUUAUAUGGAGGGAGAGUUGUCUCAUUGGCACUCAUACCACAUCUUCCUAUAUCUAUUUACAUUUGAAAAAGGUUAAAGCUGACUGUGUGUGAUAUUUGAAAAAUGUAAAAUGAUAAAAACAGGAUAUCAAUUACAUAUUGACAAAAUCAAAAAACCUUUUACCAACUCAUUUCUUAACUUUAAAUUUUAAAAGCAACCUCA